rnacentral:lncRNA from 1 species
CCCCGCCCCGCGCUGGGACCAGGGUCCGGUGCGGAGUGCCCUUUGUCCUGGGAAACGGGGCGCGGCCGGAAAGGCGGCCGCCCUCUCGCCCGUCACGCAACGCACGUUCGUGGGGAACCUGGCGCUAAACCAUUCGUAGACGACUUGCUUCUGGGUCGGGGUUUCGUACGUAGCAGAGCAGCUCCCUCGCUGCGAUCUAUUGAAAGUCAGAUCUCCACACAAGGCUUUGUAAAAAAAAAAAA